CCUAAUAAAUUCGAAAGCGCCAAGGAAAAGUGGGAGGGAGGUCGGCGAUGUCUCUCUCUCUGUCUCGACGCCAUAAACUCUUUGAAUACACACUAUUUACUCAUUUCACACCACAUUUGAUUUUUUUAUUUUUCGCUCAAUACACACCAUCAAUUUUUCAAUAUUCCCAAACUAUCCCCGUCUUCUCCAAUCACAACCCUAACUCCACCCUGUCGCCGCCAUCAGCAGCGAGCCGCCAGUCGCCAUUCCUACUCAGCCCUUCAGGUCGCCAGCUCCUUUCGUCGCCUCCCUCUCGCCACCUGUCACAGCCCUCCUCGUGCACCUUCUCUUUUCCCUUCUUAUUCGAGUCUACACUUGUUCUCUACUUCUGACCGUCGUCAUCAGCCAUAGCCACCAAGAUCUGCUUUCCUAGUAAAAUUGCAGCCCCUCACCGCUGUGACGCACUUCUGCCACAACCCUCAUCCAUCGUGACCCCCAAAUCGCAUAAAGAGAGAGAUCCGUUGUUGCUCGAAAGAGAGAGAUCCGCCGCAAGAUAGAGGGACAGAUUAGGGUUUCACGGUGAAGAAGGAAGAGGAGGAGGAGGAGGAGAAUGAUGUGGAAGACUGGAGGCGUGACGAGGCUUGAGGAUGAAAGAGGUGGAGUCACAAGAAGGAUGAAGAAGGGCGAGGGAGCGGCGUCGGCGCUGAUUCGAGAGCGGAGGCUUGUGGAUUGCAGUGGUGGUGUUUAGGUGUGUAUGAGAAAUUAGGGUUUAAGAUUUGUCUAAGAAAGUAAUUUAACUGAGGGACACAAUUGUAAUAAAAAAAACUGAGAAACGGUGCGUAGUGAGUAAAUGAGUGGUGUGUAAAUAGAGUUACCCCUUGUUUUCCAAAACCGUCACAUUGCCGUCUCAAUUUGGAACUUGAGAAAAAGAAAAAAAAUCUGUCACAUGUGAAGAUAAGACUUCACAACCAGUAACACUGUUUGUUCAGAAGCUAAGCUUGCUAACUCCACCACACCGUUUGGUGCAGUUCUUUGGAGAUGCUUGUAGAGUGGUUGAUUACCAUUUCAUCUAUGAUGGAAAAACUGGUAGAUUUCUUCGCCAGUGCUACGUUCAGUUUGAGACUAGGGAAAUAGGAGUGCAGAGAAGAGAGGAGAGGCUCCGUCUCUCUCUCAAACAUUUGAACAAAUGAUUUGGUUCACAUUUUGAAAGAUCGGAGCUAGAUUGGGUUAGAUUUUGGAAAAGUUUUGUAAAUGAAAGUCGGAGAGCUUGUUGUACUUUUUGCAAUGGUAGUCUCAGAUCAAAAAUCCGACGAGAUUUACGUCCUAGAUCUGCUCCUCUUCAUUAUUUGAGGUACAUCUAAUGACAAGUUCGAUUGCUCGUCGAGUACUCGAAUUUCGCGGCGGAACGUCACAGGUGAUGAAGAGGUCGAUUACGAGGAGAAGUUUGAUUAGAAGCCGGUCUUGUAUGCUUGUGUUGGACUUGUAAAGCUUUGUUAUGAGUGUUGUGUUUUACUUUUGUCAUAUAGAUCAUGUAAAUAGUAAGAUAAUAAUACAUAGGAAAUGUGUGUUUUUAUUUCAUAUCGUUAUGCACUACUCGGAAGGGAUGUUUUAAUUGGAUACGAUAUAAGAAAAUAAUGGUUUCCGCACUUGUAAACGGAAUAAAUUUGCCCUAAUUAUUAUAAGAGUUCAGUUAGUUUUGAAAGUUAGGCCUUGGUAGUCUACGACUACUGCUCGGUCACAACGCCAUCUUGUUAGGGAGGGGUUGGGGUCGUGACAAUAGUCCCCUGCACAUGUGGCUACGAACCCCGUACGUAUGGCCUAGACUUCCAACAAGUUUUAGAAAAAGGUUUCUGAUUUAAAUCUUUGUUAUGUACUUUUAUAGAACAACAUUUAUGUAUAGUUUUGGAUCUUAUAAGAAAAGAUUUGUAUAAGCAAAUAGUAGUGAUGGAGAGUUUUUGUGUAAGUAUGAAUGAAGUAGUACUUUUUUUGCAAGCUUUGUAUACAUGUAAUAUUUUAAGAGGUUAAGGAAGAAUGAUUUAUGUUCCAUUUAUAACCUAUGCACUUGCUCUGAACGGACUUAAUCAAGUUAUGACUAUUAUAACGCUUUCGCAUAUGUGCCCUAAGGUACUAUAAUCCGUUACUUGUUUUGUCUUGUUAGGACUUUGGUAGUCAAGACUAUUGGCUGGUCACAAUCUAUCCUGGUUGGGAUAGAAUGGGGCCAUGAUACAUUUUACAAGCUCACACAUUACAUUUAAAAACCAGUAAAACAUAAUUGGUUGUCCCAAAACGACACUUAUGUAACUCUUCGACUCUUGUUUUUAAAAUCCUUGUGUCAAAGCCAGAUGAGUCAAGUUAGACACCAACGCCCAAAAAGAAAGGCAACUCUAAUGGAAACUUUUUUCAGUUUAUUUAACAAAGAUGUGUUUCAUCGCAAACUUAUAGCUGGUAAUAGAGACCAAAGAAUAUGGCUAAAAACGCACAAGACAAAAUACCUGCAUACUUCUUUGUCGGUAUCACCGUCAACUCACGUUCACCAUACGUUGUCCAACCAACUCUUAGAGCAUUCUCAGCAGCUCCUGAAUCAGAAAAAUAUACAAAGGCAAAAUUGCAUCCAAAGAAUAGUUAAUAAAUAUAUCAUAUAUUAUUUUGAACCUCCAAUAUGCAACAAAACUGCCAAGACAGCUUAAUCCAUCCCUCAUGUUUAGGACUCGCAGUCAUUGUUCUGCAUGUUGACCCAUUAGGCUUUCAUGACCAAAAAUAUAACAAUCACGUUCAGGAAGAAAAAUAAAACUAAAGAUAAAAGGCUUGGGAGGGAGAGAAUGAUAAGAGAGAAAGGCAAACCUUUUGUGUUGGUCAUUUGUAUUGAUAAAUUUCACUUGUUUGACGUUGCCGCAUGGAGAAAAAACAGCUUUUUUUGAAAUUCUCUAUCUGUGAUUUAUAAAUAGUCAUGAAACUUUAAGUGCACAUGUAGAAUACGCUUGCUCUAAAGUCACGAGACACCAAUUCGAGUUGAAAAUGUUAUGAAAGCGACAUUACCUCUAUAUCUGGAAGUCUUGUAUCGAAAUUUGUCAUAGCUACAACUCCAAAAGGUACAAUUUUGCGUUUUAGUUCCUUUAUCUUUUUACUGUAGUAAUUAAAAUCAUGAAACUCAACAGUUUUUAGUAACUUCCAUUUGAAGAUAAAAGACCUGCUAUACUAUAUCUCGAAAACUCAAGCUCAAUUGGCCAGCCCAACAAAUGACUUCCAUUUAAUUUGAGAGCCUGCAAUAAGUACACAUUGAAAAAACAUAUUUAUUUCGAAAAUAACUUCAUGAACCAUUCAUGUACCGAUUCAUUAGGGAUGCGAGUUCUAUACCAAGCACCUUGCAAGCGCAUUAGUUUGUGAGCAGUAAGGUAGACAGGGUAGAUCCCUAUCGCAUCUCCUGGGUUGGUCCUUGGACAUAAUGCAUGGGGGUAUGCAGUACCACUCGUGGAGCCGGCUUCUCGAGAGGAUGACAAGCGCCCAAUCUGUGACAAGUGAUAUCAGAGCCAGCCUAGGGGCAUUGUGAUGGGGACGGUACGUGAGACUUACACCAAGCACCUUCAUCGUAGGGUCCGCACCAAGGGUGGUGUCUGCGCGGGGCGGGUUUCCCGUGGGUGGGGAAACGGACAAGCAUGGAGGCAGGCAGAGUAAUGUCCCCUUGACGAGGGCGUCAGGGACUGGUGGUGGUAGCAUGUCACGUACCAACUCAUUAGGGAUGCGAGUUCUACACUCAGUACCUUGCAAGCGCAUUAGUUUGUGAGCGGCAAGGCAGGCAAGGUAGAUCUCUAUCGCAUCUCCUGGGUUGGUCUUUGGGCAUAAUGCACGGGGUACGCAGUACCACUCGUGGAGUCAGCUUCUCGGGAGGAUGACAUGGUUAAUGAAGUUAUUUCCGAAAUAAAUAUGUUUCUUUCAAUAUGUGUACUUAUUGCAGGCUCUCAAAUUAAAUGGGAGUCAUUUGUUGGGCUUUCCAAUUGAGCUUGAGUUUUCGAGAUAUAGUAUAGCGAGUCUUUUAUCUUCAAAUGGAAGUUAUUGAAAACGGUUGAGUUUCAUGAUUUUAAUUACUACAGUAAAAAGAUAAAGGAAUUGAAACGCAAAACUGUACCUUCUGGAGUUGUACCUGUGACAAAUUUCGAUACAAGACUUCCAAACAUAGAGGUAAGGUUGCUUUCAGAACAUUUUCAACUCGAAUUGGUGUCUCGUGACUUUAUAGCAAGCGUAUUGUACAUGUGCACUUAAAGUUUUAUGACUAUUUAUAAAUCACAGACAGAGAAUUUCAUAAAAAGUCUUUUUUCUCCAUGCGGCAACAUCAAACAAGUGAAAUUUAUCAGUACAGAUGAUCAACGCAAAGGGUUUGCCUUUCUCUCUCAUCAUUCUUCCCCUCUCAAGCCUUCUAUCUAUAGUUUUUUUUUUCUUCCUGAACGUGAUUGUUAUGUUUUUGGUCAUGAAAGCCUAAUGGGUCAACAUGCAGAACAAUGACUGCGGGUCCCAAACAUAUGGGAUGGAUUAAGCUGUCUUCGUAGUUUUGUUGCAUAAUGGAGGUUUAGAAUAAUAUACGAUAUAUUUAUUAACUAUUCUUUGGAUGUAAUUUUGCCUUUGUAUAUUUUUUUGAUGCAG